GCGCGGGUGGCGGAAUCGGUAGACGCAGCGGCCUUAAAAGCCGCAGUCCUCACGGGCGUACGGGUUCAAGUCCCGUCCUGCGCA
rnacentral:tRNA from 1 species